GCACUAUUAGCUCAGUUGGUAGAGCACCUGACUCUUAAUCAGGGUGUCCAGGGUUCGAGUCCCUGAUAGUGUACCA
rnacentral:tRNA from 1 species